rnacentral:lncRNA from 10 species
AUUGUGUCCAGAGGUAACUCCUCCAAAAACAAACAAACAAACAAACAAAAAAACACGCAUUUAGUAGCCAAAGAAAAUGGGAUGAAUUUGAGGCAGCCAAAACAGCCAAUGGUCACCCCCCCACUUUCAUAGAAGAUGCUAAUUUUAAGAACAAAGAAGAAAAAAUUUCUUUUAAAGAAAGGCCAAAGAAUUAUUAUAGAUCUUUUCUUUCGACAUUCCUAAACAAGAACAGGCCUAGAUGGUGUCAUUUUCAAUUCUUGUCCUAACUGGGCCACCGGGGAGGAAAGGAAGAAAGCAGCACAGAGCCAAGUUUGAAGUCCUGGAAGAGAAUCUCCUGAGACAUUGGCUGAGGAACACAGAAAGUUACUUGUGGCAGAAUCUUUCUGGAAUUUUUCCAUUCUGGGAUACUCUGAGCCCAUUUUGUCACAGGUCAUCAUGACUUGAUGAAUGAAUAUCAUAUUGGUUAAUUCCUGCGGCUUAAUAAAAUCCUUUGUUCAAGAACAGCAUGAAAUUUUCAGAGUGUAUCGACUCCUUGUUAGCUAUGAUUGAGACUAAGAGUGCCU